AUACUCUGGUUUCUCUUCAGAAUGACUAAAUCUUUCGCCUUUUACUAAAGAUUUCCCUGGAGAGGAACAACCAUGAGUUUCAUGCAGCCAUUUUUAACCAUGUUUCCUGGUU